rnacentral:snoRNA from 13 species
UGCAAGCGCACUCUGUGUCACAUUGAAUCCUCAUGUGAAGACAAUUUGUAAACUUGCUAAACUAAACUAAAGCUGCGACUUAUCCAUGUGUUCAUGCAAUAAAAUCAAAUUGAUCACAUUGAAUACGGGCUUUACACUCG